rnacentral:tRNA from 1 species
GCCUGGCUGGCUCAGUUGGUAGAGCAUGUGACUCUUGAUCUCAGGGUUGUGAGUUUACACCCCACAUUGGGUG